rnacentral:rRNA from 1 species
GACGAACCGUGCGAACGUUAUUCGGAAUCACUGGGCUUAAAGCGCGUGUAGGCGGGAGGGCACGUCCGUCGCUGAAAUCCCCCGGCUCAACCGGGGAACGGGCGCGGAUACGACCUUCCUGGAGGGGCGUAGGGGGACCUGGAACUUCCGGUGGAGCGGUGAAAUGCGUUGAGAUCGGAAGGAACGCCCGUGGCGAAAGCGGGUCUCUGGGAAGUAACUGACGCUGAGAAGCGAAAGCAUGGGUAGCAAACAGG